rnacentral:misc_RNA from 1 species
AAAGUCGUAACAAGGUUUCCGUAGGUGAACCUGCGGAAGGAUCAUUACUGAAUGACCUGCACCUUCUUGUAGCGGACUAGGGGGUUUCCCUCUGUGGAGCCCUUUGGUCUGCUAUGCUUCACAAUCAAACUCGUCGUUGCAUGAUGAUGUGGGUCGCAUCCUUUUGUUGGGUUGCACCCUCAAAGUACAGUAAUGGAAAUAUAAGUAUAACUUUCAACAACGGAUCUCUUGGCUCUC